rnacentral:rRNA from 1 species
AGCAGUCGCCGCGGGAAUACGUAGGGUGCGAGCGUUAAUCGGAAUUACUGGGCGUAAAGCGGGCGCAGACGGUUACUUAAGCAGGAUGUGAAAUCCCCGGGCUCAACCUGGGAACUGCGUUCUGAACUGGGUGACUAGAGUGUGUCAGAGGGAGGUAGAAAUCCACGUGUAGCAGUGAAAUGCGUAGAGAUGUGGAGGAAUACCGAUGGCGAAGGCAGCCUCCUGGGAUAACACUGACGUUCAUGCCCGAAAGCGUGGGUAGCAAACAGGAUUAGAUACCCCUGUAGUCCCUGUCUCUUAUAC